UUUUAUCUUUUAAAAGGAGGGGCAUGUGUUCCACACUGAAACCAACGUGACUUUGGUUAACAACAGUAUGGUGUACAAUUACCAAUAUCCUACUGUCCUGCUGAAUACUGGCUGUCCUGACUGCCUUGUUAUGUACUCAAAUAAAACCAUUGGAAGAACCACAUUUAAAGCUCUCCAUCUCCUGAGUAGGAGAGUUAAAGUGUCUGCUGCUGAGCUGGAAGAGUUUACAAAGCAGGCAGAGUGUCUGAACUAGAAUCCCCUGCUAUCAUGGAUUCAGAAAA